AUGAUGCAUCUCCGUCCGGCUUGCCUGUUUGUUCCGCCCUCUCUGUUCUAUAGUGAGGUGCGGACUAACAAAAGCACAACAAAAACCUGGGCACUAGGAAGUAUUAUAUGUUCCCGUCGGGGACGAUGUGACAUCUGCAUCAAUUCAAGCAAAGGUUGUUGUCUGUACUGUGUGGACAAUGUUUUAGUCACGCUGCCAAUUAUCCGUUUUCCACCAAUUGAUGACUUCAAAUUAUUGAAGGAGAGCAUGGCAUACAAGGAUAUGCGGGCAUCCAAGUUUGAUCCAGCUGAGGAAAGAUAUCUGGAGCUGCAUUUCAUCGCCAAACCCGUGGGCAACAUGUAG
rnacentral:rRNA from 1 species